rnacentral:rRNA from 1 species
UACGAAGGGGGCUAGCGUUGCUCGGAAUUACUGGGCGUAAAGCGCACGUAGGCGGCUCUUUAAGUCGAGGGUGAAAUCCUGGAGCUCAACUCCAGAACUGCCUUCGAUACUGAAGAGCUCGAGUCCGGGAGAGGUGAGUGGAACUGCGAGUGUAGAGGUGAAAUUCGUAGAUAUUCGCAAGAACACCAGUGGCGAAGGCGGCUCACUGGCCCGGUACUGACGCUGAGGUGCGAAAGCGUGGGGAGCAAACAGG